GCCUGGCUCAGUGGUUGAGCACCUAGCUAUGAACCAGGAGGUCCCGGUUCAAUUCCCGGUCAGGGCA
rnacentral:tRNA from 1 species